UCAAAAGGAGAUCCAACGCCACUACUCGACGCCAGUUUGUUACCCCUUAUGGAUCCUAUCGCUCACGAGUGACGGCAGCACGGACCUUCCAUUCUACGCCUCAGGAGAACGGAAACCCUCGGCAACCGCUAACCGCUUCAAGACCCUCCAGCCACGCCACAGCCACGUCUAAUAGGGACACUCUUCAAACCAGCCAUCUUCACAUCUGGACAAAACAAUAAAUCCUUUCUCAUCAUCCACUUACCUGUCUUCCUUCUGGGUUGCAGCAUCUGGGUUCCUCACCCUUGUGAAAUCAUGACACCAAGUUAUUACCAAAAUGAUGGCCACCCCUGUCCCCCCUUUUACCAGGAUUAUGUUUCUGCUGUUCCCUCUUACUAUUCCAGAUAAUUCUCCAUUCGUUUCAGAGAAUUGUUCACCACUCCUACCUGCUGAUACACAAUCUCCAAAUAUCUUCACCACCCUUCAACCUCCACCCUCUAAACAGGGCAGCAUCUGCUCUAAGCCUGUCAGUCCCCCCAAUCCAAAUUCAACAAUACCAGAGUUACAGUUUACAUCCCCCCUGCCUUCAGAGGAUGAAUAGUAAUUUUGAAGUCGUCUUGUACUCUUUUUCUAGUUUUUGAUUUGUCUGGAUUAUGUUAUACGUUGCUUACAGAAUGUCAAGUACAGAUUAGAUUAUAGUUCUAAUUUAUUUAUCAUUUGGAAGAGCAUUUGUUUCUUAUUGUAAUGUGUAUAAAAUGUUUAGUACAUACACAGACUGGAAGAUUUAAAUUUUUUUGAACAACAGUGAAAAAUAAAAACAAGUACAGCAUUAGGACUGUUGUCUUAUAUUUUAUUGAAUUGUUUACAUUUAUUGUUGAGCAAAAUAUUGGGUCUCCCUGAUUCUUAGGGGCUGGAUGUCUGCAAUGCCCAAUGGGUCAACAUCACCUGGUGGUACAUCAGGGGGUCCAGCUGCACUAGGAUCUUCACUGUAGGCCUCAUUGUGUUUUUCACAGAUGUUAUGCAGUGUGCAGCAUCCGGAGAUAACUGUGGGGACCAGUGAUAUGUCCACAUCAAGACGUUUUGACAGGCACCUCCAACGACCUUUUAAUCUUCCAAAUGCACACUCCACCGUCAUUCUAGCCCCGCUUAGUCUCUUGUUAAAAUGGUGUUUAGUCAGAUCUCCAGUUUCCGGGUAACCCUUCAUUAGCCAGGACCGAAGUGGGUAAGCUGGAUCCCCCAACAGCAUGAUAGGCACUUGUGUGCCCUGGAUCUCCUAAGUGGUCUUUGGUCAUGGAAAAAAACAAAUUACGUUUGCUGAAGAGAAAUACUGUGAUGAUGACAUUACUGUGCAAAUCAAGGUAAAUGUUUGUAAUUAUAUAAUUGCACGUCUAUAUCAUUGAUCCAUACUUCAUGACAAUAACCUUCAGCAAUAUUAAUAAAUAUGUUUGUAGAUAAAACUGGGAUAGUUCAGUAAAGUGUAUGGACAUACCUUUCUGUACUAUGUAUGCUUUGCACACAAUGAAGGCUGAAUUAGAGUUUAUGAGAAUAAAUCACUCACGUUUGGAAAGAGGA